UUAUUAUUUAAUUUGAAAUAAAUAUUUAAAAAUUCAAAAUCCUUAAAAGCCUUAAAUAAGAUUAUGAUAAUGAACACGAAUACAUCACCUGAAGAAGUAACUUUCGAAGAAUACAGGAAGUCCGAAACCGCUGGGGAAAUUAUGUUAUACCGAGUAUUGACGAAAACGAGAUUUUGAUAAAAUGCUAUAUUAUAAAGAAGGUAAAGCUAUUGCAGAGUCAGCAGAAUUAGCUGGAAUUAUUAAAAACACAGCCACUUCUAUAAUUAGAAGAUAUAAGACGGAUGGAUGUGAGAUUAUUAGACGAAAUCGUGUGGAAAAAGAAAUGUUAAACCAAGUGAUGAGAUUUAAAACUAUGUGGACAAAUUAGUUGAAGAAAUUCUAUCAAUUACUUAAAAAAAAAUUGUUGAAAAUAAAAACGUCAACAUGACCACAACAACGGUAUUUAAUGCAUUAAAAACUUAAAAAAUAACACUAAAAACCGCCACAAUCAACCUGGACCGCUUAAACUCCAAAUCAACAAUUGAACAGCGCACAAAUUAUGCACUAAAUUGAUGAGUCCGGUUUCAACUAUCCUCUUCGCAGAAAUAAAGCUCGAUCGAGGAUAAAUAUUUAAGCCCAUGUAAUUGUUCCAACAACAAGAGGACACAAUGUUUCAUUAAUUUUAGCCAUGAAUUUAAAAGAUAUUAUACAUGUUCAAGUAAUUUCUAACUCAACAGUAAAUUCAAAUGUUUUUAUUACAUUUCUUGAUGGAUUAUUUAAUAAACUUGCUGGAAGUAA